UGGGGAAUGUUGGACAAUGGGGGAAACCCUGAUCCAGCCAUCCCGCGUGUGCGAUGAAGGCCUUCGGGUUGUAAAGCACUUUUGGCAGGAAAGAAACGUCAUGGGUUAAUACCCCGUGAAACUGACGGUACCUGCAGAAUAAGCACCGGCUAACUACGUGCCAGCAGCCGCGGUAAUACGUAGGGUGCAAGCGUUAAUCGGAAUUACUGGGCGUAAAGCGUGCGCAGGCGGUUCGGAAAGAAAGAUGUGAAAUCCCAGAGCUCAACUUUGGAACUGCAUUUUUAACUACCGAGCUAGAGUGUGUCAGAGGGAGGUGGAAUUCCGCGUGUAGCAGUGAAAUGCGUAGAUAUGCGGAGGAACACCGAUGGCGAAGGCAGCCUCCUGGGAUAACACUGACGCUCAUGCACGAAAGCGUGGGGAGCAAACAGG
rnacentral:rRNA from 1 species